rnacentral:rRNA from 1 species
AUCGAACGCUGGCGGCAGGCCUAACACAUGCAAGUCGAGCGAGCGGCGGACGGGUGCGUAAUGUAUGGGGACUGCCCGAUAGCGGGGGAUAACUACUGGAAACGGUUGCUAAUACUGCAUACUAUUGGAUAACCCAUAUGGGAUUAGCUAGUGGGUGAGGUAAUGGCGCACCUAGGCGACGAUCCCUGGCUGGUCUGGGAGUAUGAUCAGCGAUCCUGGGAAGGAGCAACGGCCCAGACGCCUACGGAGGCAGCAGUGGGGGUUAUUGCGCAAUGGGCACAAGCCUGAAGGAGCCAUGCCGCGUGUGUGAAGAAGGCCCUAGGGUUGUAGAAUACUGUCGUUCGGGAGGCGUUACCGAGAGGAGAGGCACCGGCUAGCUCCGUGCCAGCAGCCGCGGUAAUAC